rnacentral:lncRNA from 1 species
CAACCAAGUUUGUUCAUGCGAGCAUGUUAUCGUAUACUUGUCACAUAUUUGCUGUUCAAUUCCUAGUGCAAGUGGCAAAAGGGCUUGAUGGUUGAUACCCGAGACCCAAGUUCGAAUUCUAAUUGAUUCACAUUUUUCAGCUAAGUUUAUUUCUAAAUGAAAUAAACGAAGCGGGUAGCAUGCUACCUUUUUCUCAAAAAAAAGAGAAAAAUAGUGCUUACAUUGGGAGAUAAAAAAAAUAAAGUGAUAU